GAUGAACGCUGGCGGCGUGCCUAGUACAUGCAAGUCGAGCGAACAGACGAGGAGCUUGCUCCUCUGACGUUAGCGGCGGACGGGUGAGUAACACGUGGAUAACCUACCUAUAAGACUGGGAUAACUUCGGGAAACCGGAGCUAAUACCGGAUAAUAUUUUGAACCGCAUGGUUCAAAAGUGAAAGACGGUCUUGCUGUCACUUAUAGAUGGAUCCGCGCUGCAUUAGCUAGUUGGUAAGGUAACGGCUUACCAAGGCAACGAUGCAUAGCCGACCUGAGAGGGUGAUCGGCCACACUGGAACUGAGACACGGUCCAGACUCCUACGGGAGGCAGCAGUAGGGAAUCUUCCGCAAUGGGCGAAAGCCUGACGGAGCAACGCCGCGUGAGUGAUGAAGGUCUUCGGAUCGUAAAACUCUGUUAUUAGGGAAGAACAUAUGUGUAAGUAACUGUGCACAUCUUGACGGUACCUAAUCAGAAAGCCACGGCUAACUACGUG
rnacentral:rRNA from 1 species